UCAAGAAUUAUCUAAGGCUUUAGCACAUUUCAUUUGCAUCAAGAUAGCCCUCAUUUUCUAGCUUCACAUAUUAAAGUCUCCCCUCCCAUCAUACAUGCUCACUUCAAACUUAGCAGAGGCCAUGACAAGAUUUACUAAGAUAGUUCACAAAAUACAAGUUUGAGUUCAAGAACACACAGGGACAUACAACAAGAAUACUGUAGGUAGAACAAGGGAUUUGGGGUCAGUAACCAAUGCACUUAUUUCAAGUUUUCACAAAAUAGUAAAAACUUAACACUAAGUAUAGAAGGCAGAAUCACAAAGAACAGAGAUGUCAAUCCUGUGCCUCAACUAACUUCUCCAGCAAGACAUUCCAAUUGCAAUCCUACUAGUAUUCUUGAGUCUUUGGACAAAGACGAGCCACAAUAGGUUUUGUUAGUGCAAGGUAAAUCAAGGGAAAAAUUUGGAGACCCUAUUGUAAAGAUUAAUUAUAAAAUGCAAGAAAGAUUUCACCAAUGAGUUUGAUAAAACUCAAUUUCCACUAGCCAAUAUUUACUGUAGGUUUCAGAAAUCAUGUUUAAUCAAGAAAUCACAAAGCUCUAGUAGUCCAGGUUGCUCUAAUACCACUGAAAAUUCGAGAGAUACUAAAUAUUAACCAAGAUUUCAAAACCACAAUCAUAAACUGAAAAUAAAGUGCAGAAUAUAUAAAUGAACACAGAGAAUUUUUUGGUCGAACCCUCAGAGGUUCGAUGACCACUUCUAACGCCUAAUCCCCUAUUGAGCAUCCAUUAAAAUGGAUAAAACUCGGUUGCACUAUAAAGCCCAAAAAUCAGGCAUCAAAUAUACAAUAAUGUUCCAGAAAAUACAACAAUUAAAGUCACCAAGACUUAUCUUUAAAAUAAGGCACAAAUCAAGCCUCACUCCACUAAGGAUUCAAAACCCGGAUCACAUAGAUCACCAAAACCGAACUACCCUCCUCGAACCACAAAAAAUGGGUGCUCUUUCACAGAAUAUUACUUUCCACCAAGGAACUAUACAAAUCAGCCUCUAUAUUAUACAUUAAUAGGCUGAAAAACACUAAGUUUUUCGUAAUAAAAGUGGGCAACAAAGAGUCACACGGAUUUGACUCAACCAAGACCAACUUAGC
rnacentral:lncRNA from 1 species